rnacentral:rRNA from 1 species
CGAACGCUGGCGGCGUGCUUAACACAUGCAAGUCGCACGGAAAGGCCCUGCUUUUGUGGGGUGCUCGAGUGGCGAACGGGUGAGUAACACGUGAGUAACCUGCCCUUGACUUUGGGAUAACUUCAGGAAACUGGGGCUAAUACCGGAUAGGAGCUCCUGCUGCAUGGUGGGGGUUGGAAAGUUUCGGCGGUUGGGGAUGGACUCGCGGCUUAUCAGCUUGUUGGUGGAGUAGUGGCUUACCAAGGCUUUGACGGGUAGCCGGCCUGAGAGGGUGACCGGCCACAUUGGGACUGAGAUACGGCCCAGACUCCUACGGGAGGCAGCAGUGGGGAAUAUUGCACAAUGGGCGGAAGCCUGAUGCAGCAACGCCGCGUGCGGGAUGACGGCCUUCGGGUUGUAAACCGCUUUCGCCUGUGACGAAGCGUGAGUGACGGUAAUGGGUAAAGAAGCACCGGCUAACUACGUG